rnacentral:misc_RNA from 1 species
GAUGAAGAACGCAGCGAAAUGCGAUAAGUAAUGUGAAUUGCAGAAUUCAGUGAAUCAUCGAAUCUUUGAACGCACAUUGCGCCCCCUGGUAUUCCGGGGGGCAUGCCUGUCCGAGCGUCAUUACAACCCUCAAGCUCAGCUUGGUGUUGGGCCCCGCUGCCCCGGCGGGCCCUAAAGUCAGUGGCGGUGCCGUCCGGCUCCGAGCGUAGUAAUUCUUCUCGCUCUGGAGGUCCGGUCGUGUGCUCGCCAGCAACCCCCAAUUUUUUUCAGGUUGACCUCGGAUCAGGUAGGGAUACCCGCUGAACUUAAGCAUAUCAAUAAGCGGAGGA